rnacentral:tRNA from 1 species
GGUAAAAUGGCUGAGCUUAUAGGCGAUAGAUUGUAAAUCUAGGAACGGGGGUUGCCCUCUUUUACC